AGGGCUGCUCUUUGUUCGUGGCGCGUGAAAGCCACGCGAGGAUUUCCCUUGCCCGCCCGCCAAGGCGCUCGUGCUCUGAAUGAAGGGCGCCUCGUCGUGCCCACGCAAGUCCUGCAUCUCUGAAGGAUCUCCCCGAACCGGUUCACAUGCUGCCUUCCGUCCUUCCUUCCUUUUUAUUUAUUUAUUUAUUCCGUUUCUUACCCGCCCUUCACGAUAACGCCUCAGGGCGGGUUGCAGCACCCACGGACUUGAACGAGCUGUAUUGUCCAUAAUGUUCCAGUUCUUCGAUAUCCAGAAAGGAAAACCUCUUUGCAAUCCCGUUAUCUGCUUCGGCUCAGAGCAUAAAGGGCACCCAAAUAUUAGCCAGGAAACAAUGGAGUUCAGUGUCUGUGACUUUGUCUGAGAGGCUGCCCAACUGCAAGAGUACACCACACUGGGGCAUGACUGGACGAUGGCCAGAUGUCAAUCUUCACCUCACAGAGUCCGGCAUUAGAUUGAAAACACCCGAUUCAGAUGAAGGAUCUCUCAGGUUCCUGUCACCAUCAGUGAGAUCAUCGUCUUCCAACUGAAGCAGGAGUGGAGUU